rnacentral:rRNA from 1 species
GACGAACGCUGGCGGCGUGCCUAAUACAUGCAAGUCGAGCGAACCAGUGGGAGCUUGCUCCCUGAGAUUAGCGGCGGACGGGUGAGUAACACGUGGGUAACCUGCCUGUAAGACUGGGAUAACUUCGGGAAACCGGAGCUAAUACCGGAUACGUUCUUUUCUCGCAUGAGGAGAGAUGGAAAGAUGGUUCUGCUAUCACUUACAGAUGGACCCGCGGCGCAUUAGCUAGUUGGUGAGGUAACGGCUCACCAAGGCGACGAUGCGUAGCCGACCUGAGAGGGUGAUCGGCCAAACUGGGACUGAGACACGGCCCAGACUCCUACGGGAGGCAGCAGUAGGGAAUCUUCCGCAAUGGACGAAAGUCUGACGGAGCAACGCCGCGUGAGCGAAGAAGGCCUUCGGGUCGUAAAGCUCUGUUGUUAGGGAAGAACAAGUACGAGAGUAACUGCUCGUACCUUGACGGUACCUAACCAGAAAGCCACGGCUAACUACGUGCCAGCCGCCGCCGUAA